CUUUUGUGGGGUGCUCGAGUGGCGAACGGGUGAGUAACACGUGAGUAACCUGCCCUUGACUUUGGGAUAACUUCAGGAAACUGGGGCUAAUACCGGAUAGGAGCUCCUGCUGCAUGGUGGGGGUUGGAAAGUUUCGGCGGUUGGGGAUGGACUCGCGGCUUAUCAGCUUGUUGGUGGGGUAGUGGCUUACCAAGGCUUUGACGGGUAGCCGGCCUGAGAGGGUGACCGGCCACAUUGGGACUGAGAUACGGCCCAA
rnacentral:rRNA from 1 species